UCCCAGGCGCAGAAUCCACUGCCUGCCUAGGAAUCGUGUAGUGAUUUGACAACAAAUGUAGGAGGGGUUUGUAUUGCAUUUUAAAGCACCGCUGUUGACUCUCUACCAGGUGGCACUAUUUGCCCGCGUGUGCCAUAGGUUAGAGCCUCUGGCCGGGCUGGCUGCCCAUUGUGCCAGCGGCCCCACGCCCAGGUACUGCUCGGCUCACCUGGCGAGGACAGAGCCUCGGGGACCGGGCUGUGGACUGACUGAGAAGUACCGACGCUGUAAAAUCUUCCCAGUUCCGUGGUUCCAUUGGCCAGAGGUGUGGAGGGACGCAUUCUGCAUCUAGGGAGGACAGUAGUGAGAAAAGGGCUUUGCGGCAUCCCAGUUGGGACAGCCUCCGGAAGGGUCCUAACGCCCUGCUCUGGCCACUGGCCUGCCCAGCCUGACAAGGUUACCGCAGGGUGAGCUCACUGUUGUCAAUACGAAGGCAUGAAAAUGGAGAAGCUUCUGAAAGAAAAAAGACCCUUAUUAAUUCGAAAUGGAUUUUCCAGCUCUCUGAAGGCAAUCUCCCAAAACAAAGACUGAUGAUAAUACUACUACUACUAUUAAUUACUGGCCAAAUUUUAAGAGCAGAUGUGAUUUUAUGAUGCUUAGCCUGAAUUUUUUUUUUCAUUCCCACGUAUCUCCUUUUUUUUAAUGCUUUAUUUGUUUUCUUUAUGUUCUCUGCAUCUCUCUCUUGCUUUUUGUUUCUUUCUUUCUACUCUGAGUGGCCUCACAAAAGGCACCCCACCGUGACUUAACUUAGUUUGUUUUAUGCUAGGCAUGGAGACUGUGGCAGCAGGAGCUGCGCAAAUGAGGGAUGAAGUGGAAUGUAAUGGGAUUGAGAACUACAGCUCAGGAGGGAUAUUUUAUGUAAUUGAAGAUAGCGUUCUACUCCAAAAUUAGAUAAGCAAAUAGUCAAAUCCAUCAUUGCUUCCAUUUUUAAUAAUUCAAAAGCAGACUUUCUUCCCCAGCAUGAGGAUUAAAAAGAGCAGAAUUAGAUGCCCAUUAUUGUCUGUGUGAUAUGUUGGUAUCAUAAUGGCCUCACUACCUAAAAAUAUCAUUAUCAUAUAUUCUGUCAAUUAUUUCAACAUCGACUCCAGACUUCCCACUAUGGUACCCUGUUUCCAAUUUUAUAGCUUUAGGAGAAAGGGCUUAAAGAAUAAAAGAAUGUAAUAAGCUUGUAGAGAGGUAAGUCAGCCUUCAUUAUUAACUUUGUUGGCCUUUGAGCCAAAUCUCAAUUUCUUUGGAUCACUCUGAUGAAGCACUGUGUUCUCCAAUAUGUGAAGCUGUUGAGGAAAGAUAUUGCUUCCACAAUUCUUACUGAAAGGGUUGGUUAUCAACUGUGAGCCUUGAUCAUUGUUUAAUACUCUGUUGUAAGGUUUGCUAUUAAUUGCUUUUUACCAAUCUAAACCUUUGUACUGAAGAUAUUCAAAAUGUGGGUUUUUUUAAUGUAUGAAAACUGAAAGAAGACCAUUUCCAUAACAUAGCAUUAUGUUUCUGUAGGAUUAACUAUAGCCAUAACAAUGCAUUUUUUCAGCUCAGUUCUUUUAUUUUGGAAAAUCCCCUUAAAAUCAGAUUACAUCCUAUUAAUCUUAAAAUUUUGCUUAAUCACAAUAAAUUUGCUAUUCAACAUAAAAUGUUUACAAAUCAUAAGGACUGAUGUUAAGCUGUUACAUUAUAGUGAAUAGCGUAAAUGUGCAGUAAAUACAGUAAAUAUAUUACAGGUUAUAAAUGAUUAAGAAGUCGCAAGUCAAUAUCUACUGUUCAUUUAAGAAGAAAUAUUUUAAUUAGAAAGUUGGUGAAGUAUUACUGCAGGAGAUUUUUGCAUUCAAUCAUUUCUAGAACAAAGCUUAAAGAGAUUUAAGUCAUGCAAAUCACUGACCUUUACCUAUGACAAACUUGCGAUUGGCAUCUUUUGGUUAAAUCUUAAUUGUUAAUUCAUAUAAAUAUUUAAUUUUUUUCAUAUACAUUUCAUUUUUUAGUAACUAAAAACAAUAAAUACCCUAUUGCCAUUAAAUGGUUAUUCUUCAUUUUUUAGGUGAUACUAUGAAUAUUGGUGGCAUAAAAUUACGUUUUUAUUGUAGUUUUAGAUGAGUGAAUGUAUGUACAAGCAUAUUUUUCUGUGAUUUUUUUUCAGUAAAUCAAAUUUCUUCAACAUUUUGUCGCCAAAAAAGACAAAGUAACCUAAUUGAAAUUAUUUAAUCUUUCUCUUUUUUUGUUCUCAUGAACCAAAAGAAAAUAAUUAUCCUUAGCCAAAAAUAAUUCAAAGAAAAUAAUUAAUUUUCAUAUUUCUUACACAUCUUAAGAAAACUAAGGUGAAAACCUUGACAAAGGGCCUUAUUUGCUUGUAUGCAUAUAGAAGUAUAGACAUACUGUUAGAAUCAUAAUCAGAAAAACUUGUGAUUUGAGAUGGUACUAUGCUUCCAUGCGCACAAAGAUGUGUGCCAGAGAAAGCGAAAAUUAAAGACAAAUGGACAGAAAGCUUCAACAAUCUUAUCUCCUCAGGGAAUUCUUUCAGGAGACAGAAAUACGCAAGAAAGCAAUUCAGAAGUAUCAAUGCCCAGGAGAAUGGUUAAGGGCAUGUGUAGUGAUUUUUAAGUCAGAGUUUAUAUUCGGUAUUUUUAAAGUAAAGUGGCAUAUUGAAGCCUUCAUUUAAAAAAAAAAAAAGAAGCAUAGAAAAGAAACUAUCCUAAACUAAGAAACAUGGUCAAAUAUUUUCUAUAAACAAGACAUCUAUUUAGAGAAAAUUUUUCCUUGGCCCAAGUAAUACAGCUAUUGAAUGACAAUUUCUGAUGAAAGAAGUACCUUUUCUAAAGAGACACAAAGUAACAUUAAACAAGUAUUGACUGGAAAUUUAUUAUUUUCCAUCAGAGUCCACAUACUGUCAAACUUAUGCUACUUUAAGUAUUUAGGAAAAAGUAGCUCUUAUAUUUUAAAAUACCAUCAUGUUUUCAAGCAAUAACUUCUAUAUUUUUUGUUUUGAAUCUCUGCUAAUCUUAGAAUUUUUCAUUCAAUUCCUUUUUCUUGAUUUAUUUUACUCUUUCCCUUUUUUGCUGUUAAAGAAAAAAUAAAAAAAUUUUUAUUCAGAAAAAAAUCAGGUCCUACAAUAUGACUUCCUAUUUAAACAAAACAAAACUCUAUUCACCUCUAAAAUCUGAAUUUCAUAGCAAGAUCUUUCUUCACUCCAUAGAGUUGGAGUCGUGGUUUUCUAUUUUGUUUUGUUUUUUGACUGUGACAGCGCAAAAGUAUAUGGAAUCCAUUUAUGUAAGGCUAUGUAGACUAAGGGAAGUAGAGAAUUCAGUUUUUUAUUCAAAUAUUCACUAACAAUGAAACUGCAAUGCGAAGUAAUUAAUAAGCAGUAGAUGGUAAAAACUGAAAUAGGAAAAACUAAUAACCAUUUCCAGUUUUUUUAAUUUUAUGGAUGUAGCCUGUCAUGAGAGGGGAAGAGAAAGAUCAUCUAUUUAUAUUAUUUUGCUGAUACUAGGGUUUUUGCUUUUGCUUUUGUGUUUGUCUUUUUUAGACAGGGUCUUAAUCUGUUGCCCAGGCUGGAGUGCAGUAGUGUGAUCUCGACUCACUGCAGCCUCUGCCUCCCAGGUUCAAGUGAGUCUCAUGCAUCAGCUUCCCAAGUAGCUGGGACUACAGGUGCCCACCACAAUACCUGGCUAAUUUUUUUUGUAUUUUUAGUAGAGUCAGGGUUUCACCAUGUUGGUCAGGCUGGUCUCAAACUCCUGACCUCAAGUGAUCAGCCCACUUCAGCCUCCCAAAGUUUUGGAAUUACAGGCGUGAGCCACCGCGCCGGCCAAUACUAAGUUUUUUAUAUUCAUUAAACACAGUAAAACACCUUGUAACCUAGUAUUUUUCUAUAAGAUUUGGAUAUGUUUUGGAUCAAAUUUCAAAUUCACUUCCUGAAUAAUAUAACUCAUUAUAGUAGCUACAGAUAACAUAGUCUAUUAGAUGGGUGUGCAUAGAACCAUGCCAUAUAAUGUUGCUAGAGGUUUCUCCCUCUAAAUAACAAGUAUGGGAGAGAAAAUAAGACAGCAGUCAUUUUGUUUUUUAGCCACAUAUUUUAGAUUGAUAUGAUUUAAAUGCCUACCAUUAUUACAAAGAAUAUGUGACUAUCUGUCCAUACUAGUGAACUUAAAAUUCUAUAUUCUUUUGAUAGAUGAAUAAAAUAGGGAUGAUGUUGUCUUCUAUCACAGAUGGGAGAUAUAAACUUUUUAAGUUUUGCAUUUGGGAAUAUUUGAUAAUCAACAUAGAGCAAAUAUUAUCCAGUCAUAGUAUUUUCUUCAAGAUGUACAAGAUAGUGGAGUGUAAUUCCUAAGGAUUCCUGGUAAUUUAGGAAAAAAAACUGAGGAAUAUUGUUAUAUCUAGCUCAUGCUCUAUCACAUUUUUCAUAAUCAAAUUAAUAGCAUUUGAACAUUUCACACCAUUAAAACUAAGGACAGGGAUUUUAAACUAUUCUGUUCUAAAGACAGCAUGUGUUCUAUAGAGUUGGAAUUCAUAUAUAUUGAUUUUCUUUUUCUUAUCCACAAUUCUUUAUAUUUUAUUCUAGGGUGAUCCAUUCUUUAAUAAUAUGGUUCUCUCAGAAUGUCCAUAGCUAUCUAGAAAAAGAGAACUGAUUUAAUAAAUUUGCCAACCCAGGUAAAGAUGGUCCAAACAAAAACAGUAAACUGGGUCUUGAGUUUCAAGUGGAGUGUUUUUAUUACCUGGAUGUUGCUACAAGCCUUUCUGUUACACAGAGCUCUACCUUUUGCCAAGAUGUUCAUUUUUGUGAACAUAUUUUAUACUAUCAAGAUACUGGCCGAUUAAUAUUUAGUUAGUUUAAACCAAAAAACCAAAUGCAUAACUUUAAGAUAUCACAGAACUCCAAGGAGCGAUAUUUGUUUAUUAUAUUCAAUAACAUUUAAUAAUUUAGCUGUCAUUAAUGAUGAUCUUAACUUUAAUUGUGUCAUUUCACAUAUGAUUAGCAGUCAUUACUUGUAAUAAGAGCAAGCAUGUUUUGGUUGGGUGGACUGUGUGUAUAUUCAGUCACCUUGUGUUUUCUCUGUUAGUAUCAGAAAAUUCCUCAUAUCCAAGACCUAAUGCUUUCCAAAUGACUAUUAGAGUACUUUCAGAUUUUGUAUGCUUUUGGGUUAAAUAUACAUCUGCUUUAAACUUCAUAUCUAUUUCUCAAAAUAUAUAAAACUUUCCCCUUUCAGAAACAACAAUAUUUAUCAAAAAUGAGCUGUCACCAUAAACCUAGUUACAACACCGUGUCCACACUUCAAUUCAAGCACUAACGUCAGUGUUCAGGGACAGAACCCAGUUCUGCUGUUUCUCCUUUUCUUCCCCAAGUUAACCAGCCAGCUCACCCGCCCCUUCUCCACCCCUUCUUUUGAUCUUUUUCUUCUUCAACAGGCAAUAGUUGUCUUUAACAUAUUACCAAAGGAGAGACUUCUGGUUUUUUUUUUUUUUUUUUUAGUAGUAAAGAGAAAAGGAAGUAGAAAAGUAGAGAAAGCAAAGAGAAAUUAUCUAGAGGAGAAAAAUAUGGAUACAUGAAGGAAGAAACAAUAUGAAAGAAAGGAUGAGUUUGUUCCUAUAACACAGACAAGCACAACGCAAAAAAGAAUGAGAGAAACCAGAGAUGAGAAAUGUCAAGGCCAAAAUUGCUUGAAAGAAGACAAAAGAGUAGGGCAACUCAAUUUACUUCAAUAUUCAAUCAACUGAAAUUUGUGUUGCUAAGCAAAUGCAUAAUCUUCAAUGUCUCAUGAUUUUACAAGAAAUAUAGUCAAGUUUUUUUUUCUAAUUUAAAAGUAAAACAGAUUACAUGAUGUUAAUAUUUAAAAAAACAAAAAACACUUGCCUCUUUUUUUCUUCUUCUUUUUUGUUUUGAGACAGGGUCUCACUCUGUCUCCCAGUCUGGAGUGCAGUGGCAUGACCUACGCUCACUACAGCCUCAACCUCCUACGCUCAGGCGAUCCCCCAAUCUCGACCUCUGGGGUAGCUGAGACUACAGGCACACACCACUGCACCCAUUUAAUUUUUCUUUUCUUUUUUUUUUUUUUUUUUUUUUUUUUUGGAGAAACUGGGUUUUGCCAUGUUGGCCAGGCUAGUCUCAAACUCCUGGCUUCUAGUGAUCCACCUGCCUUGGUCUCCCAACAUACUAGGAUUACAGGCGUGAGCCACCGUGCUUGGCCUUUAACCACUUUUUUAAGUAGAAAAAGUAAAUGAUAUUUAAAGCAUUACGUUAGAUACAACUACUAUAACAUAAAGUUUGCAAAUUCCCUAUGCCUCCAAUGUUAGUUGCAAAUAGUUACAAAUCUAAUCAGUUGACAUUAGAAUAUUUGUAUGAACUAGGAAAAACAUCAUCCUCUAUUUCAUAUAAAGUACUGAUUUGUAUAUGCCAAACUUUUUUUAGUAAAUUACUCAUGAACUUUAAUUAACCUACAUUUUAAAAAUUUUCAAACUUCAGAACCACUUUUUUCUUCCUAUACCUUUUUUCAGAAAAAAUUCACAAACAAUAGGAAAGUGUAAAUGGGAUUACAGAAAAGGGCAACAAUGACUUAGCUGCUUCAGUGAUUUUGUUCUCACCUGAAAACCUGUUGACAUUUAAAAAAUGUUCAGGAUCCCUGGACUAUGUCAUCUGUCUUGGGUUCCUUCCCAUGUCUUACAUCAGUUUGUUCUUAAUAAGAAAACUUGAACUUACUCAUAUUUUAGGUUUGUAUCAAAUACUCAAAUUACUGAUCUCAGAUUUAAUGUUGGCUCUUAAAAUUAAUCAUUACACAAACUCCUCCAUAACUAAGGAUAACUAUGUUAGCAUACAGUGGUAUGUUAGACACAGGCCUUAGCUAUGGGAUUUAUCAAAGAGCAGACCUAGGAUUUGAGCCCAGGCACACUCCCUUGGGUACCCUGACUGUGAACCUCUGUGCCACAUGGUCUUUCUGCUCUGAAUAUUUAGUAGUUCAGAGAUUUAGGCAGAGUUACUUAGCCUUCCUGAGUCUCAGUUUUUAAUUUUCUAAAAAUGGAAAUAAUGCUGUAAUAGAGUUUUUUCCAAUUUGUCUUUUUAACAAAUUGAUAUAUUGUGUGUGUAUAUAUACACACUAUAUAUCAAGCUUUAUUGAUAUAUAUAAUUGAUAUAUUGCAUAUCAAUUCCCCCAUUUAAAGUGUACAUCCUAAUGACUUUUAGUAUUAUACAAAGAUUUUCGCUCCUAUUUAAAAAGAUCAACCAUUAAAUAUUUAAACUGGGAUUGGAUUUGAUGAGACCUACAUGUAUUGGCUUUGUAGACAUGAUGUGCCAAAUAGCAGUUCAAUUUUAACAUUAAUGUUGGACAAACUUUAAUGACUUUGACCCUUAAGUCUUACUAACUCCUAAUGACAGUGUUUUUCCAUAUAUAAAACCUUAGUCUCUCUUCUUUACAUUGUCCAUGUUAAGCACGUAAUCACUAUUUAAAAGCUUGUAUUUAAAAAUACUACUCAUUUAGAUCUCACAUGAUUCAUACAAAAACAAUAAAAUUAUAAUUUAGAUUGGCACUUGUACCUAUGUUUGUAUUUGUAUCAUUUAUGUAUAUAUAUGGAGUUUAUAUUGUCAUCUUUUUACUUGUACAAUGAAAAUGGUAUUUACGACAUUGAAGUAUGUGAAGCUGUAAAUGGCAUUUGCAUUUAUAAGAUACAUCAACUCUGCUUCUACAUUUAAUCACUGGCUAGAGCUAUUUAUUGCUUCAUGUACUGUUCUUCCAUAAACAGCAGUACUGUAGGACAACUUUCUCUACUGAAUCUUUUUUCCCUUUUAAUGUAGAUCAGAAAAACAGAAACAUUUCAUAGAAAUGAAACAUUGUCACCUUGAUCAAGUAAAUAAGCUUUAAAAAAUUAAAUUUGGAAAUAUCUGGAAAAUCAAAUCAAUAAAAUCUAUAAGUAAACACAUUUCAUUAUGGUAUUUCUACAGAUAUGUGAAAAUAUGUGUCAUUUUAUUUCUCAAUUAGAUAUUAAAACAGCUACCUGAUUUUUGUGCUUUCUGGAGAUAAUUCUUUAAAAUGUAAGUAUAAUACAUUUUGAAAACUACAAUAGUAACAGUAAUCAACACAAUCAACAACUUAUAUCUGUUUCAAAUGACUAUUUUUAUAUCUGUGUUUUGAAACAGGAUGUAUUUUCUCAUGUAGAUUUUAAUUAGGAAACUGAGCAUUCAUUUGAAUUUCUACUUAGUUUCAAUCACCGGUUCUAGAAUCACCACCUGUAAUCAUGGUGUCUAAAGAACUUUAAAUAAUAUGUAAAUUAAUAAUCUUGGAAAUAGCACUUGAUUGAUGUGGGCUGAUGGCCAUUUAUUGUCAUUAAUAGCCUAAGGGUGAUUUACUGUAUUUCAUUAAGAAAAAAAGCCAAACUCUGUUUUACACAGGUAGCACAUUUGUAAAUGCAUAGUAGAAACCGAAAGAGCCCAUCAUAUUGCCUGAUGCAAACAAGAAAUUUAGUUUGUGUAUCUUCUUUUCUUUCUUUCUUUCUUUUUUUUUCUUUUUUUUUGAGACAGAAUCUUGCUCUGUUGCCCAGGUUGGAGUCUGUGGCAUGUUCUUAGCUCACUGCAACCUUUGCCUCCCAUGGGUUCAAGCAAUUCUCUCACCUCAGCCUCCUGAGUAGCUGGUUUUACAAGUGUGUGCCACCACACUCAGCUAAUUUUUGUAUUUUUUAGUAGAAACAGGUUUUUGCCAUGUUGGCCAAGCUGGUUUUGAACUCCUGGCCUCAAGUGAUCUGUCCACCUUGGUCUCCCAAAGUGCUGGGAUUAUAGGCAUGAGCCACCAUGCCCGGUCUUACUUGUAUUAUCUUUAUUCAUUCAUUUAUACAUUUACUCUUUCAGUCAGCCACCUAUUCAUUUUGGAUUAAUUAGUCAUUUGUUGCUAAUAUACUAAGAGCCAAAUAUUCUGAUAGGAAUCAUGUGCUUCAUAAAGUUCCAUGUAUUUCUACAUGCUAACCACAGAUUGGGUUUCAUGUGUGUGUUUAUAUGUUGUAUGUAAAUCUUUAUAUGAAACAACUUAUUAUCUAUUCUUAAGAUGUGAUGCCCUUCGUUAUUAAAAAAAGUUUUAAACUUGAAA